rnacentral:SRP_RNA from 1 species
GCCGGCGCGGUGGCGCGCGCCUGUAGUCCCAGCUACUCGGGAGGCUGAGGCAGGAGGAUCGCUUGAGCCCAGGAGUUCUGGGCUGUAGUGCGCUCUGCCCAUCGGGUAUCCGCACUAAGUUCGGCAUCAAUAUGGUGACCUCCCGGGAGCGGGGGACCACCAGGUUGCCUAAGGAGGGGUGAACCGGCCCAGGUCGGAAACGGAACACGUCAGAAUAACAUUAAGAGAUAUUUCACUAUGUAUUCAUACUUUCAAAACUUUGAGAUGGGCAACAGCCCCUGUAAUU